AUUGAACGCUGGCGGCAGGCCUAACACAUGCAAGUCGAACGGCAGCACAGAAGAGCUUGCUCUUUGGGUGGCGAGUGGCGGACGGGUGAGUAACACGUAGGAAUCUACCCAGUAGUGGGGGAUAACCUGGGGAAACCCAGGCUAAUACCGCAUAAGCCCUGAGGGGGAAAGUGGGGGACCGCAAGGCCUCACGCGAAUGGAGCGGCCGAUGUCAGAUUAGCUAGUUGGUGGGGUAAAGGCCCACCAAGGCGACGAUCUGUAGCGGGUCUGAGAGGAUGAUCCGCCACACUGGGACUGAGACACGGCCCAGACUCCUACGGGAGGCAGCAGUGGGGAAUAUUGGACAAUGGGGGAAACCCUGAUCCAGCUACGCCGCGUGGGUGAUGAAGGCCUUCGGGUUGUAAAGCCCUGUCGAGGGGGACGAAGUUCUGACGGUACCCCUCAAGAAAGCACCGGCUAACUCCGUG
rnacentral:rRNA from 1 species